rnacentral:rRNA from 1 species
UACGGAGGGGGCUAGCGUUGUUCGGAAUUACUGGGCGUAAAGCGCAUGUAGGUGGCUUUGUAAGUUAGAGGUGAAAGCCCGGGGCUCAACUCCGGAAUUGCCUUUAAGACUGCAUCGCUAGAAUUGUGGAGAGGUAAGUGGAAUUCCGAGUGUAGAGGUGAAAUUCGUAGAUAUUCGGAAGAACACCAGUGGCGAAGGCGACUUACUGGACACAUAUUGACGCUGAGGUGCGAAAGCGUGGGGAGCAAACAGG